rnacentral:lncRNA from 1 species
GGGGAAUGCCACCCAGCGGGGGGGGGGGGCAAACGGAAAAAUGAAAACCAACACCAGCCAAAACACCUCGGGAGAAACUUUCCUCCAUCAGUCCAAAUAGGGGGAGCUGCGGGGGAGCUUUCUGCGCGGGUGGAGGGCGUGGGAGGACGGGCGGGCCCGGGAUUCCCCAAUCCCAGAGAGGUGGGGGACCCAAUGGGAGAAGGGAUUAGGGGUGCGAGGAGCCCAAAACGCGAGGAUUUUUGGUUAAAAGUGUGUGUGAAAAAGAGAAAGAAAAAUGAAGGAAGAAGGAAGAAAAAGAGAAAGAGAAAAAGGAAGAACAAAGAGAGAGGAAAAGGAAGAGAAUGGGGAAAAGGGAGAAAGAAAAAAGGAAGAAAGAGGAAGAGAAAAGGAAGAAAGAGAAAGAGAAAAAGGAAGAAAGGGAGAGAAAAAGGAAGAAAGAAAAAGAAAAAGCAGAAAGAAAAAGGAAGAAAAGAGAAAAAGGAAGAAAGAAAGAUUAAAAUGAAAGACGUAAAAGUUAAGCGAAUAUUGAAAAAGGUAAGAAGUUUGUGGGCGUGCUAACUGAAAUGUUAUAAGGUGUAUUUUUAAAAUGGUUAGUGUUAUAAAAUCAGAAAUGGGAGAUAUGCGGGACAGAACUAGCAUGCAUAUAGCAAGUUGUAAAAGUAUAGUGGUAGCAUUCAGUGAGAUAAUGUAUUUUGUAAAAGUAAAACAAGCCUGCAUGAAUACAAAAAGUGCAAAAACUGUGUGAAAGGUCAGCAGUGGACUUUCACAGCUCUUCAAGGCUGUCUGCCCUGGCUGAUGGCAAUGAAUCUGGCUGCGUAGACGAAACCUGUGGCAGUGACCCUGCUAAGAAACAUCAGAGACAAUGGUAUCUUACGGCCCUAGAACAGGCAAACCAUUGGGGCAAGCUGUAAGGUCCCUGCUGCUCAAUCAAAUUCUUAAAUGUUUGGGUAAGACAAAACUAUAUUCUCUGCUGUAAUUAAUAAAUACAAUGUUUUCUCAUGUUACUGGAGUUUGUAAUGACUUAGCCUGUGAAUUGGAUGGGGCCAGCCCUAAUAUCGAGGACUGGCUUAUAUAGCCUUGUUGGUUGGGAAUCUUAAGCCCAUGAGAAAUUAAAGUCUAUUUAUUAAAUGUCUGUUAGUUGGAAGUCUUAUUGUUUGUUGUUGCAGCUAUACAUUAUGUGUGAAAUGCCUGAAUAUGAAUCAGACUUUAAUAAUGAAACACUGUGUCCUUAAGUGAUUUGAUGAACUAUAAGUGAUAGAUAAAUGUACCUUGUUGAAUGUAUAUGUAAAUCCCUUGUUUUUAAUUUGAACAAUCCUGGGACUGAAUAUAUUGACAGAAAAAUUUAAUGAGUAUUGUUCAAACCUAAAAGUGAAAAUAACAUACAGGAAGCGUUUUUAAUCAGUGAAAUGU